AGGGGUAUAGCUCAGUUGGUAGAGCGUCGGUCUCCAAAACCGAAGGUCGCGGGUUCGAGCCCUGCUGCCCCUG
rnacentral:tRNA from 1 species